UACAGAGGUCUCAAGCGUUGUUCGGAUUCAUUGGGCGUAAAGGGCGCGUAGGUGGCGCUGUAAGUCGGGUGUGAAAUCUCGGAGCUUAACUCCGAAACUGCAUUCGAUACUGCCGUGCUUGAGGACUGGAGAGGAGACUGGAAUUUACGGUGUAGCGGUGAAAUGCGUAGAUAUCGUAAGGAAGACCAGUGGCGAAGGCGGGUCUCUGGACAGUUCCUGACGCUGAGGCACGAAGGUCAGGGGAGCAAACGGG
rnacentral:rRNA from 1 species